rnacentral:rRNA from 1 species
CAGGAGGGGGCAAGCGUUAUUCGGAAUUAUUGGGCGUAAAGGGCGCGUAGGCGGCUUUGCAAGUGGCGGGUGAAAUCCCUCGGCUUAACCGAGGAACUGCCCGCCAGACUGCAUGGCUUGAGACCAGGAGAGGUGAGUGGAAUUCCCAGUGUAGCGGUGAAAUGCGUAGAUAUUGGGAGGAACACCAGUGGCGAAGGCGGCUCACUGGACUGGUACUGACGCUGAGGCGCGAAAGCGUGGGGAGCAAACAGGAUUAGAUACCCUGGUAGUCCACGCCGUAAACGAUGAGUGCUUGGUGUAGCGGGUAUCGACCCCUGCUGUGCCGAAGUCAACACAUUAAGCACUCCGCCUGGGGAGUACGGUCGCAAGACUG